UACGUAGGGUGCAAGCGUUGUUCGGAAUUAUUGGGCGUAAAGCGCGUGUAGGCGGCUUUGCAAGUCGGGUGUGAAAGCCCUCAGCUCAACUGAGGAAGUGCGCCCGAAACUGCAGAGCUUGAGUACCGGAGAGGAUGGUGGAAUUCCCCAAGUAGAGGUGAAAUUCGUAGAUAUGGGGAGGAACACCGGUGGCGAAGGCGACCAUCUGGACGGAUACUGACGCUGAGACGCGAAAGCGUGGGGAGCGAACAGG
rnacentral:rRNA from 1 species